CAGUAGCCGCGGUAAUACGAAGGGUGCAAGCGUUACUCGGAAUUACUGGGCGUAAAGCGUGCGUAGGUGGUUGUUUAAGUCUGCUGUGAAAGCCCUGGGCUCAACCUGGGAAUUGCAGUGGAUGCUGGGCGACUAGAGUAAGGUAGAGGAUAGUGGAAUUUCCGGUGUAGCAGUGAAAUGCGUAGAGAUCGGAAGGAACAUCUGUGGCGAAGGCGACUAUCUGGGCCAUUACUGACACUGAGGCACGAAAGCGUGGGGAGCAAACAGGAUUAGAUACCCGCGUAGUCCCUGUCUCUUAUAC
rnacentral:rRNA from 1 species